UGCAAGUCGGACGGUAGCACAGAGAGCUUGCUUUUGGGUGACGAGUGGGGGACGGGGGAGUAAUGUGUGGGGAUCUGCCCGAUAGAGGGGGAUAACCCCUGGAAACGGGGGGUAAUACCGCAUAACGUCGCAAGACCAAAGAGGGGGACCUUCGGGCCUCUCACUAUCGGAUGAACCCACAUGGGAUUAGCUAUUAGGCGGGGUAAUGGCCCACCUAUGCGACAAUCCCUAUCUGGUCUGAGAGGAUGACCACCCACACUGGAACUGAGACACGGUCCACACUCCUACGGGAGGCAGCAGUGGGGAAUAUUGCACAAUGGGCGCAAGCCUGAUGCACCCAUGCCGCGUGUAUGAAAAAAGCCUUCGGGUUGUAAAGUACUUUCAGCGGGGAGGAAGGCGACGGGGUUAAUAACCCUGUCGAUUGACGUUACCCGCAGAAAAAACACCGGCUAACUCCGUGCCACCAGCCGCGGUAAUACGGAGGGUGCAAGCGUUAAUCGGAAUUACUGGGCGUAAAGCGCACGCACGCGGUCUGUUAAGUCAGAUGUGAAAUCCCCGGGCUUAACCUGGGAACUGCAUUUGAAACUGGCAGGCUUGAGUCUUGUAGAGGGGGGUAGAAUUCCA
rnacentral:rRNA from 1 species